UCCCAGGGAACAAUUCCUUCCCAAUAUCCCAUCUCUCCCUGCCCUCAGUGGGAAUCCAUUCCCUGGGUCCUGUCAGGCUGAGUUGGGAAUUCCCCUCCAUUCCUCUGGUUUGUGGUGAGCUCAGGAUUUUGUUCUCUUUGCAUUUUCCAGCCGAGGUUCAGGAGGAGGUUGAGCUCAGGAGACUCCAGCACUGAGCCAGGGAUUCUGGUGAGUAUUCCCUGUCCCUGCUCCCUCUCUCUGGGUUCAAUCUCCUUGUCCAGGCAGGAAAUGUCUCCAGGAAUGUUGGAUGUGUUUUCCAGGCAUCACAGGCUGUGCCACCAACAAAGAAAUCAUUCCCAAAAAUGAAUAAUUCAGGGAUGAAUUCCCUCCUGGGAAGGUCUGUGAGGUUCUGUGCAGUGGGAAGGCACCUUCACCUCGAGGUUGUGCCAAAACCACAUCUACAAAACAGGAAGAAAUCCACAAAACAGGAAGAAAUCCUGCAAGUAUUACAAGAUAAGGAAGCAGGAGCUCCUGGGGGCCCUGAGGGUUGAGAAGGUUGGUGUUGGUUCCCCACAGAUGUGGUUCCAUCCUUGAAGAUGAUUUUCAGUAAAUCAACUAGGAGCACUCAAAUUACAUCUCCUGUAGCUCCCAGCCUCUGCCUUUUUUACUAAUAAUGUUCUUUUUCCCUCAGCAAACCUUCCAACAUCCUCAUUUUUCACUGUUCUUUUCCUCCUCACGCUGCUUCUGUUCAAGAGAGAUUGAGACCAGGCGUGUUCAGAGGACAUUUCUUGCACGGUUAAACUUGGAUCAGCUGCUUAUUUUAUUGGAAUUCAUCUCAUGCCCUGCAGAUUCCAGUUUUCCUGGGAUGAUUUUGGGAUAAGAAUGUUCCUUUCAUUCCUGGUGAUCCCAAAGCUCUGGUGGGAGCUCCGCUGCUUCAGAUGAGCCCUCGGCAGUCAGAGCUCAUUUCCUGGGAUGGAGCUGGGAAGAAGGGAAUCACUGAGCUGGGGAAACUGAGAUCCCUCUUCCGUGUGCUGCUGCAGACACACAGCCCCGGGGCUGCUGCCUGACACUCCUGAAGAUGCACUGGGCUUGCUUUGCUGAGCAGGAUGUGAGCACUGGGCAGUGCAAUCCACGGGACUUUGCUGGUUUCUUGUUGCCCCAGGGAGCAGAGCUCUGCUGUCUGGAGGUGGGAAUGAUUCCAGCUGGGAAUGGUGGACUCUAUAUUCCAUUUACCAUUGGCUUGCUGGGAAAAGCAGGAAAAAACCUGGGAGCUGCCCAGCACUGUUUGAGGAGCUGAAAGGUAUAUAUUUUUAUAUAUAUAUAUAUAUAUAUAUAUAUAUAUAUAUAUAUAUAAAAAUUAAUAUAUA